AUGGUUAAGUUAGAAAGGGCGCACGGUGGAUGCCUUGGCACUAGGAGCCGAAGAAGGACGGGACUAACACCGAUAUGCUUUGGGGAGCUGUACGUAAGCGUUGAUCCAGAGAUUUCCGAAUGGGGGAACCCACUAUCUUUAGUCGGAUAGUAUCCUUACGUGAAUACAUAGCGUAAGGAAGGCAGACCCAGGGAACUGAAACAUCUAAGUACCUGGAGGAAGAGAAAGAAAAAUCGAUUUCCUGAGUAGCGGCGAGCGAAACGGAAAGAGCCCAAACCAAGAAGCUUGCUUCUUGGGGUUGUAGGACACUCUAUACGGAGUUACAAAGGAAUGUGGUAAACGAAGUGGUCUGGAAAGGCCCGCCAAAGAAGGUAACAGCCCUGUAAUUGAAAGCAUAUUCCCUCCAGAGUGGAUCCUGAGUACGGCGGAACACGUGAAAUUCCGUCGGAAUCCGGGAGGACCAUCUCCCAAGGCUAAAUACUCCCUAGUGACCGAUAGUGAACCAGUACCGUGAGGGAAAGGUGAAAAGCACCCCGGAAGGGGAGUGAAACAGUUCCUGAAACCGUGUGCCUACAAGUAGUUAGAGCCCGUUAAUGGGUGAUAGCGUGCCUUUUGUAGAAUGAACCGGCGAGUUACGAUUUGUUGCAAGGUUAAGCGGAAAAAGCGGAGCCGUAGCGAAAGCGAGUCUGAAUAGGGCGCAUGAGUAACAGGUCGUAGACCCGAAACCAGGUGAUCUACCCAUGUCCAGGAUGAAGGUGAGGUAAUACUCACUGGAGGUCCGAACCCACGCACGUUGAAAAGUGCGGGGAUGAGGUGUGGGUAGCGGAGAAAUUCCAAUCGAACCUGGAGAUAGCUGGUUCUCUCCGAAAUAGCUUUAGGGCUAGCCUCGAGGUAAAGAGUCGUGGAGGUAGAGCACUGUUUGGACUAGGGGCCCUUCUCGGGUUACCGAAUUCAGAUAAACUCCGAAUGCCAUGUACUUAUACUCGGGAGUCAGACUGCGAGUGAUAAGAUCCGUAGUCGAAAGGGAAACAGCCCAGACCACCAGUUAAGGUCCCAAAAUAUAUGUUAAGUGGAAAAGGAUGUGGGGUUGCAUAGACAACCAGGAUGUUGGCUUAGAAGCAGCCACCAUUGAAAGAGUGCGUAAUAGCUCACUGGUCGAGUGACCCCGCGCCGAAAAUGUACCGGGGCUAAACAUAUUACCGAAACUGUGGAUGAACCUCUUUGGAGGUUCGUGGUAGGAGAGCGUUCUAAGGGCGGUGAAGUCAGACCGGAAGGACUGGUGGAGCGCUUAGAAGUGAGAAUGCCGGUAUGAGUAGCGAAAGAAGGGUGAGAAUCCCUUCCACCGAAUAUCUAAGGUUUCCUGAGGAAGGCUCGUCCGCUCAGGGUUAGUCGGGACCUAAGCUGAGGCCGAUAGGCGUAGGCGAUGGACAACAGGUAGAUAUUCCUGUACCAGUGCUAGUUGUUUGAGCAAUGGGGUGACACAGAAGGAUAGGGAAUCGCACAGAUGGAAACGUGCGUCCAAGCAGUGAGUGUGAGAAGUAGGCAAAUCCGCUUCUCGCGAAGCAUGAGCUGUGAUGGGGAAGGAAAUUAAGUACGGAAGUUCCUGAUUUCACGCUGUCAAGAAAAGCCUCUAGUUAGA
rnacentral:rRNA from 1 species